ensembl:ncRNA F55D1.3 ncRNA
AGGUGAGUGUAGAUUGAUGAAAACGUCAAACGAUUUUGCGUUUAGAUUGCAUACAACUGCUGAAAAAUCAAACUCCGCAGA